rnacentral:lncRNA from 1 species
UGACUCCCGCCUUUCUGUCCGGAAGGUCAGGAUAGCAGCUGUCUAGAAAACCAACAACUGUCUGCCCUGAGGUAAAGUGUUUACACCGUCAGGUGAACUCCGAGAACUUUUCUGGCUGUACACGCAUUCAAAAAACAGUGCAAAAAAAAAAAAAAAAAAAAAAAAAAAAAGGAGAGACCUGUUGAAAACCUGACUUUGUUUUCCCCAGAAACUCAAGUUCUAACAACACAACUUUUUUGUGUAAUUGCAUUUUAUUACUUAAGUUGUACUUUGUGUGCUUGAGUGCAGGCUUGUGUGGGUCAUAGAGGACAACUUGCAGGAGUCCAUUAUCUGACAACUUGGGUAGUGGGAAUUGAACACCUAUGUCAGUACUUAACUGGCUGAGCCACCUCACCUCACAACAAGAUUGGCUCCUUGGUGACAUACACUUGAGACUCCCAGGCCUUCUGAAGUCUGCUAGACCUUCACAAACCCAAGACCACAAGUUCAGUCGGUAGCCUUGGAUUAUUGUUCUGCUGUUGGUAUUGGAUGGCAUGGUGUGUAGACGGAGCCUGGGUGUUCACACAGGCCAGUGUGCCCUCUAGAGAUCCCGCAGUUCUUGAUGAUGAGGAAUUUUAAAACUCAAACCUUUGGGCCUCCUCUGCCUUUAGUUUGCUGCAAUGUAAGGGUGAAGAAUUCUUAUCACCACCUUUUACAAGCUGGAAACUGGUGCUAAGCCUUACUGAACACUUGGAAGUUCUUAAUCUCUUUCUACAGCCUCACUAGCCUGUACUCACUGUGUAGCCCAAACUGGCCUGGAACUUGGACAUUCUGAGCUUGGAUUACAUGAACUCAGGAGCCAAAUACUGGGAAAGCCUGCUAGCUCAGAGUCAGAGAGCAACCAGAUGAUCUUCCUCCUCCAACAUCCCAGAAGCCGCCUCCCACCCCCACAGCUGUGUCAAACCAACCUCCUCAAACUCAAUGUCCCUAACUACUACCUCCUAUGUAUCUCUAUCUGUCUUCUGACUCCCUCUUACUCUGUGUGCUUUUUUGUUGCUCUUGUUUUGGGAUUUUUGUUGUUGUUGUUGUUUUUCAAGACAGGGUUUCUCUGUAUAGCUCUGGCACUCGCUCUGGAGACCAGGCUGGCCUUGAACUCACAGAGAUCCACCUGCCUCUGCCUCCCAAAUGCUGGGAUUAAAGGUGUGUGCCACCAACACCCAGCUCUGUAUGCUUUUUUCAUAAUAAUCCUAUGUUCAUUUUCUUGAUCUGUUGACUUUAUUUUGAAGGUACCAGCCCACAUUUCAGCAG